GGAGGGGAGGGGAGGAGAGGCCAAGCCUGGGAAGGCGGAAGGGCGCUCCUCGCCGCCGGGGAUGCGGGGGAUGCGGGGGAUGCGCUGCUUCUCCAGGUGAGGGGGCGCAGAGCCCUCCCACACCUCCCACUCCCCAGCCCCAGAGCAAACUGUGGCCCUCAGAGAGCUCUGCGCACCCCAGCCUGGCUUCCCCACGGUCCCACACUCUCUCGGGACCCUGUGCUUUUACUUCUGCCCUGAUUGCUCCGCUGGACUCCUGGUGGUGGGAUUCAGGGCAGGCUCGUUCUGGGGGCCGAAGUCUAGAACAGGACGGGGCUGCCUGUCUCCUGGAAGCGAGGGGAGGGGCUCUGGGCCGCUGGCAUCCUGGGCCCCUGGCCCUCCCUCCGGGAGCAACUCCUCAGGUCUCUGAUCCCUGCCUCCCUCCCCACUUUCUCCUGCUGGCCUUCCUGCCUCCCUCGGGGAAGGGCUGCGUUGAUAUGGGCCCCGAGGGGGUAAUGCGGAGUAAUUAUCUCAUCUCUCAACCCCCAUGUAAUCCUGCCUGCCAAGUCCCCUGCGCCCCUGAAGUAACUACGGUCCGCACAGUUCCCGGGACGGGAUGUGGCAUGUUUGGAGGACCCUGGUAGCCGGGAGGAUGUGGCCUCAUCUGUUCACCAGCACACCCCCUGGCACGGCACGGUGCCCUGCAUACAGGAGGCGCUCAAUAAUUGCUGGCCGAGUAACCGGAUGACAUGAGAGCCUAAAUCACGGCAUUGGACAUCUACAGCCCUGAGGGGACUGGAGGCAUGAGAACCCCCUCAGACGGGCCGAAUCAGAACCUGGCAGAUUUGGGGAAAGGCUGAAAACAUCUAUGUGGUGUGAUCAAAAGAUAUGGUGAAUAUGAAUAUAUAUUUUUCCUGAACAUUUAUUAUAGUAAAGACACAUUGUCAUGAAUCUCCCUCAAAAUACUCCCCCUUGCUUUAAACAUGCUUAUCCCAUCUUUCUUGCAACUCUCUGAAGCAGUUCUGGAAGUCCUCUUUCAUGAGUGUCUUUACAAAGUGUGAUCAGGAACAGAGGCGGCGGCUGCUGCUGAGUGCUAUCCAAGGGAAAGGCAGGCCCAUAAAAAUAUGGUGCUGUGUCUUUACCUACCUUACUCCCUGGAUCUGGCACAGAGUUCUGGCUCUUCUCCCAAGCCAAAAUGACCACGAAAAGUAAAUGUUUUGGAUAGAUUCAGGACAUCAAGGCAGGUGUGAUAGCACAAUUAAAGACUCUCACAAAGGAAGACUUCCAGAAGUGCUUCAGGAAGCGGCAGGAAUGAUGAGAUAAAUGUGUUCAAAGCAAAAAAAAGUAUUUUGAAGGGGAUUAAUGACAGUAUGUCUCUUAUUGUAAUAAUUAAAAAUUUUUUCACAGUCAUACAUUUUUUACCACACUUUAUAGCUAUGGUUUAAAGCCUUGUGGAGAAAUAAGGUAUUUGUCACCACUGCCAUAAUUCACUCAAUAAAUAUUUCAUGAGCACCUGCUGUACCUCCAGUAUGUUAUAGACCCUGCUCAUGGUGAAUGGUGAGGAAGGACAGCAGGGUUUCUGCCUCAUAGAGUAUACAUCAAAGCUGGGGGGGUCAGGGACAAAAGCCACUGCACGAAGAAACAAAUGAGGACAUUGGCAUUUGAGUUGAGACAUAAAUGAUGAGAAGGGACCAAUCCUUUAAACAUCUGGGAAGAAGGGUAGUCCAGGCAGAAGGAGCAGCAAAUCCAAAGGCUCAGGGGCAGAAAAGAGCUUCCCGGUGUGAGGAACAGCCCAGGUGCCUGUGUGGGAGCAGGGUGAACAGUGUGGAUUUGCUGGCCGGGGUAAGAGCUUAUAUUUACCACAGUCACAAAGGUGGG
ensembl:lncRNA